AGUGGUUUUCUCUUAUAGGACAGAGCAUUUUUUAUUCACCGCCGCCUCCUGAUGCUCACCGGCAGACGGAUCCUCAGAGAAAACAAGAGACCCCCGCACUGUUCUUUGUGUAUAUUCCAGGGUGGCCAACCUGAGGCCCUCCAGCUGCUGUAGGACUACAACGCCCAUCAUCCCAUCCCCAUGCCACAGUUGAUUGGAAUGCAGCCGUAAUUUAGCACAACAGUUGGGAGAGUCUCAGGUUGGCCACCCCUGGUAUAUGCGUUGCAUAAGGAUCGUCUUGCUGCUGCGUGCCAUUAAAGCUGAGCCCAGCUUUCUGUUUACAGCCACCUCUUGCUGGGAAACUCAGAAGAAGCAGGGCAUGAAGAUGAGAGCCAUCCCGUUGCCCCUAGUUUCAGGUGAUCAGAGAUUAUACUACUUCUAAGCAUGGAGGUUCGACUAUAUAGUGCUUAACAGCCACGGACUAUCAGCUAAUAUUGUUCAUUUCUCAAUUGAAUUAAAGCUGAAACCCAUACCAUACCAUCCAUGCCCACGUGGCAGCAGAACAGCAUUCACACGCAAAUAGGAUAUUGAUCCUAAAAGUCAUGGUCUAAAAAAAGCGAGGUUCACAUGCGAACUCCCAGAAUCGCGGCGAAUUCGAAAGAGCGAUAAGCUGAUUUGGAGCGGGACGCCCAAGGGAGUUCGGAAUCGGCCACAGGCUGACCCGUGAAGACGAGGCUACUAGCCUCGUUCCGUUGCUAGCCAGCUGAACUGCUCGGCUGCGGAGCGACCGGCAAGGCAGAGGGCGCUGUGUCAGAGGCUGGGAGGCAGCGGGAACUUUCGCUUUGCCGGCGGAGUCCGACGAGCUAAACGCUUCCUAGGCUGAGCCUAGCGCUUCCCCUCCCCACGUGGGUUCAUUCUCUGGGCAGUUCUGAAUCUGACCGCGGGUCUUUGUCUCCUUCGUGGGUUCGGGAUCUCCAGUCUAGCCGCUGCUUUCAUGGAUGUCGGGAUCUUCUUGGAGAUUAGGCAGAGGAUGCAGAGCGGGCUGCUGAUCAUCCGUGAGUUAAAAACAGCCAGCUGGCCCGUGGAUAUUACUGUGAUGCCAUCUUCGGUAGAGAUAAAAAGUGGUAAAGACGGCAAGACUAUCAAGCUUCCACCAGAGGUCAGGAUUGUUCCUUCCUCCUGUCGAGGACUGCAAUACGUGCCUGGGGAUGGCUUACACGUGAGAUUGCUAGUUCAGGCAGGUUUAAAUACAAAAUUGGUUUCGACUGUGAGUGACAGCCUUAAAUCCAAGAAGAGUUGCACCUUUUACUGUCAGUCUUGUGGUGAGAUUGUCAUAAAUGAUCGGGUAUUUCUCAGAGUUCUUUCCCUUCCCAGUGAGAACUGGAAUGAUUUAGUCGAGGAAUGGUGUUGCCAUCCCAAUCCUUUCAACAGCAGCAUGUUUUGCCCUCAAAAUGAAGACUGUUUUCUUGGACACAGUUACUUCCUGGUUAAUUCAGGAAGUGUGUCAACUGCAUCAGAGUCUGAAACCCUUCACUCAGAGACUCGUUCUGGAAGUAAUGGCCCUGCCUUGAAUUCAAAGGCAAAUAUUGUAAUUUGCAAGCGCUGCAAGACAUUGUUGGGAGAAACUAUGUCCUCAGGUGUCACAAAAUACUAUUUCACUGAAUUGCUUGUUCAAUCAUCUGAAGAUAGUUUCAACAUGAUACCAAGGUCUCACUUUAUACAGAAUGUUGUAGCCCAGUGCUUACUAGAACUUGCUACUACUAGAAGCACAUUUAGAUUCAGCAUACAAGGAGUUGAUGGGACAGUCUACAUAUUGAUGUGGCUACUGAACUCUGACACACUGUUGGUGGAAUCUCUGGGAAGCUUGGCCUCCAGUAAUGUUUUUACAUUGUUUGACCAUGGUAUGUCGCUUGACUGGCGGUUUUCAGAGAUUAAGAAUACUAUCAAAGUUCUUUACCAUUCCUGCAUUAAAAGCAGAAAUAAGGAUCUUGUUGCUGCAUGGGAAAAUGAUACUGGAGUACAUCCUCUAACAUUUCCAUCAAAAACUUGUUUGGAACUGCUGCUGCUAUUGUCUCAGAGCAAUGCUUCUCUGCCACCUUCACUUCGCUGGAUGAACUCUUUUCAGAACAAGAUUGUCUCAUAACAUCACUGAAUGCUGUGUUGGUACCAGCUAUGCAAAAAGAAUUCCAUAUACCAGCCUCUAGUUGCAUUUCUGAAGAUGUGAAGAAGCCUGGCCUAGUUCUUUUGGAAAUUCAUCUCAAGUUAACCUUCAGCUACGAAGUGCUGCAGAGAUAAGAUCUCCAGCGGGGAUGUCUUUCGGAAAGUGGUGCUGAGACUCCAAAGCAAAAAUUAUGUUAAUUGUCUGUUUAACUUGCUGUUUGUUGACUUUGGAGUUUUGAACAGGUCAAGAAAUGUGACAGAGUCAAGUUGCUCAAGCAGGGAGGCCAAUUCCUGCAGGGCAGGAGUUCAGAGAACAACUUAAUUUGGGAUGUUGGGAAGCUGAGAUCACUGUAAUUCCCCAAAGGAGAAGUCAAUUAUCUUCUGCAGCAACUUCAGCUUAAAAGAUGAGCUGAUACAGGCUCAUUUGUCCUUUCUGGGAAAUACAAAACAGGCAGCCAGGUCUGGGCAUUUGAUCCUGCAGUUUAGCUAUUCAGUUCAGUUCAGUUUAUUACGAUCUUUGAUCAGAUAAACAGAUUACAACUCAGACCCAGAUAAAAAGAACCUUGAGGGUAAAUUUUAAUACAGAUAUAUAAGAAUACAUAUAUAGAAGCUAUUACAUGAGAGUAAAAUAAUAUGAGACAACCUAAAAAACCUAAAUUAAUUGUUUCCAUGUGCGGAUCUUAAUUGCAGCCGUACAAAACCUGGCUACCUGCUGCGAAACAUCAGUGUGAAUGUCAGAAAGAAGUAAAUUUAUGUAAAACUCAUCAGAGUAAUUUGGAUAUCUAAAAACAAACGGGUUAAUAUACCUAAAAUGUAGGUCACAAUAAAAGGAGGAGUAAAGGAGCACAUGGCCAACUGUCUCAACAUCCCCAUUCCCACAGGUGCACGAUCUCUCCAGGUAGGAGACUCUCCUGAACCUACCGUCCAUUACCACAGAGGGCAGCACAUCCAGCCAAGCCCGUGUCAGGGCUCUUCUAUGCAUUGGGUAUGUCAGGUUAAACAAAUAUUUGGCUGGUUUUUGUAAAGAUUUAACAGCUCCAAACCUUGUGUAGCUUGAUGCCCAGCUUAGGUCAACUUGGUGUUCCAGAUCAAUGAUAUGCUGCUUGAGGAUCACCUUGGUGUUAUCCAGGGGCAUAACUACUAUUAGGCAAGGGGAGGCGGCUGCCUGGGGGCCCCCACGCCUCAAGGCCCCCCCCAGAGGCAAGUCACAUGACUAUAUAUUGUGAAGUGUGUGUGUGUAUCAGUGAGGGGCCCAUUUUAAAAUUUUGUCUCUGGGCCCACUCCAGCCUUGUUACGCCCCUGGUGUUAUCAUAACCAAGAGGGAGUAGAUAUUCCAUUGAAAACCCAAAUAAUUUAAAUUUUUUGGUGAUUAGAUAAAUCCAAUCAGAGGGAUAUUCAUCCUUAAAAAUUAAGAGAGCUAGGCUACAAGGAAAAUAGAUCAGCUUCAACCAAAAGUUGAAGAUAUAGGUCCAGGCACAGGUCUCCAAACUUAACAGUCCGCUUCCAGGCGCAACUUUGCAUUAGACACUCAACAGGGGGUUGAGAAAAUAGCCCUAAGAAAUUUAGAUUGGACCCUCUCAAGUGGCCCAAAGUCACUAUUUAUACAAAUUUGGGAGCCAUGAAGACACUGUGGAAUUACCUUAGUUUGAAAGACCUUAAUGGCACCUGGAACAUCUCUACCCUGAGGAAAAGAAAAAUCUCAAAAUUGCAGAAGUUGAUCUCUGUGCAUUUGUUACUAUGGAUUUGGUUUGCUCUUUCCAGCUACCUGUCCCCUGGAAGAUGACCCCCAAGUAUUUAUAUUGUGUUGUCUGUGCUACACUAACCCCAUUAAUUUGCCAUUUAUAUAUAUAAUGGGUUUCCUGGCCAACAUUAAGACCUUUGAUGGGUGAAAGUCCAGAUUAGAGAGUCUGUCCACCAUGUCAUUAAUAUAGUAAUUAAACAGUAGUGAGGCUAAUAUACAGCCCUGGCGGACCCCACUCUUUGCAUUAAUGGAGCUUGUUAAAUGACCUUGUAGGCUGCAGUGUACUCUUAGGUGUGAGCCUGGAUAGAGGUUUUUUAUUAGCAUAGGCAACCUUUGGUCAAUUGAAGAAUUUGUUUAUUUCCCCCACAGUUUAUAAUGAAGAAUGUGAUCAAAGGCUGCUUUAAAAUAAAAUAAAAAGUGGCAUAUAAUGCA